rnacentral:rRNA from 1 species
CCUACGGGUGGCAGCAGUGAGGAAUAUUGGUCAAUGGACGCAAGUCUGAACCAGCCAUGCCGCGUGCAGGAUGACGGCUCUAUGAGUUGUAAACUGCUUUUGUACGAGAGUAAACGCUGAUACGUGUAUUAGUUUGAAUGUAUCGUACGAAUAAGGAUCGGCUAACUCCGUGCCAGCAGCCGCGGUAAUACGGAGGAUUCAAGCGUUAUCCGGAUUUAUUGGGUUUAACGGGUGCGUAGGCGGUCGUAUAAGUUAGAGGUGAAAUGCCGUGGCUCAACUUCGGAAUUGCCUUUGAUACUGGUCGACUAGAGAGUGGUUGCGGUAGGCGGAAUGUGUGGUGUAGCGGUGAAAUGCUUAGAGAUCAUGCAGAACACCGAUGGCGAAGGCAGCUUACCAAGCUACUUCUGACGUUGAGGCACGAAAGCGUGGGGAGCAAACAGGAUUAGAUACCCCGGUAGUC